GCCUUUCAUCUCUCGGGAGGGUCUCACCUUGGCCUUCAGACACCCGCAGAGAGGAACUGGAAGGGCACAAUUAGCAUAAAGAAGAAAGAAGCCAGACCAAGUCCUGGCCCCGGCCCCAGGAAUCCUUGACAGGAAGCGUGGGGUUUCUGCCCAGCCUCCCACGCAAUGUAGGUGAAACCGGGCCCCUUUGGAGGAAUGGUACUAAAGACAAGAUCCCAAUUUUAUCCUCUUUGGGCCAAGAGGAUGAGAGUUAAAGGAAUGAGUUAAUUUUCAUAAAUAGCUGUGUCAGCACGAAAUGUAGAACGAUUAAAUGUCCUAGAAGACAGUUUUCUUGAAAUCUUACCAAGUUUGACAAGAUUUCUGGUGCACGGUAACGCUUUACCGCCCUGCCUUGCAUACUGCCACAUCUCCACCCUGCAACACUGCCUAUGUAGAAAUGCCAUGGAUCAGCUAAUAAUUAUCUGCUGCAAAAUUAUUAGAACACUGCCUUCACCACCUUUAUCAUUAUUUAAAUAGACCUUCGAGACGCCAACCUGUGAUUUAGCUCUCCUAAAUUGUUCAUAUACAAAGUAAACUACCUGCCACUCAAACUUAGAGAAGACAAGCUGAACCAAGUGUAAAAUUAUGGCAAUUUACAGAUGCGGGCUUCUUCACCUUGGAUUUCCCAACCUCCAGAACUGUAAGAAAUAAAUCUCUGUUUUUU